rnacentral:rRNA from 1 species
UACGAAGGGGGCUAGCGUUGCUCGGAAUCACUGGGCGUAAAGCGCACGUAGGCGGAUUGCUAAGUCAGGGGUGAAAUCCUGGAGCUCAACUCCAGAACUGCCUUUGAUACUGGCGACCUUGAGUCCGGGAGAGGUGAGUGGAACUGCGAGUGUAGAGGUGAAAUGCGCAGAUAUCGGGAGGAACACCAGUAGCGAAGGCGGCUCACUGGCCCGGUACUGACGCUGAGGUGCGAAAGCGUGGGGAGCAAACAGG